AAAAAGAAGAAACUGUGUCAGAAUUAAAGGCUGACUGAAGUCCAGGAGAUGGAGAACAGAGCAGAACCUCCAGGAUCCAGCUGUCCGUCUAUGAGGAGUGACUGCUCCAAAGAUUUCCCUCCAGACUUCAGAGAACCUGGACCCUCAGAAGGUCAGAACCACAGACAGAGAGCAGAACCUCCAGGAUCCAGCUGUCUGUCUAUCAGGAGUGACUGGUCCAAAGAUACACCUCCAGACUUCAUUGAAGAACCUGAACCCUCAGACUCAGAACCAGGACCUGGACUGCUGGCAGCCAAUCAGAGCAGCUGUGCUCCAGGUGAGACUGAACAUCUCCAAUCAGAACUUCCUUCUAUCGUCUCUGUUGGACUAAUUCCUCGUCUUUAGUUGGCAUUUGGGAAUCUAAGUGUUUAAAGUCUUUCUGGGAUCGAUUAUUUGCCCUGAAUCUCUGGAUUUCCAGCUGCUCUAAAUGUAACGUCUGUGUUCAACCCAACAACCUAUUGGGUUUGCUUUGAGGUGGUUCUGUUUUCAGCCCUUUGUGCUAAAUGCAUUAAAACUGAACAUCUCCUUAAAGCUGCAGCUCAUUUUGAUGGAAACAAAAAGAUGGCGAAAACAAC